GGACUGAGAAGUGCAAAAGUUGGAACAGUGGCAGUCUGAUGACCUCAGAUGGAUGGUUUUUGGAGCAAAAGAACCCCUAAUUACAUAAAAAGCCAGCAUAGUGUCUGAAACAAGACCAGUACCCAACUUCUGAAGAGGGACCAGGUGAGAUACGCUUCUCUGGCAUGAGAUGCAGUGGCUGAAGCUCUAGUAGCUGUUUUGGACCAUGAGGAUAAGGGCCCCAUAUGAGGCAUGGUGGAGAGUAAGCCAGAAGUUUCCUGGGUCCUUGGUCACUUAGUGGAGUGCCUUACAAGUCAUGGACUGUCUACUUGUGGAUUUCUUUGAUGUAAGAUAAAUAAAUUUCUAAUUUGUUUCAGUCACUGUUUUUUAAUUAAAAAUUUUAAUUUUAUUAAAUUUAUUUUUUAUAGUAAAAAUAAUAUACAAUUUACCAUCUUAAUCGUUUUAAGUGUACAGUUCAGCAAUGUUAACUAUAUUCAUACAAACUACUCUAGUUUUAAUUUUUUAAUUAUAUGGAACCAAACCUAAUCCUAACUAAAACACAGUGGUUAUUUUAACUGAUCUUCAAUAAACUAGUUAAAUUAGCAGACUCUCCAUCUCCUUAGUAAAGUGUGCUAAUCAUGGCCAUCACAUGCAUACUCCCAGCUAUUAAACUGUUCUCUAGGACAGUGGAUCUCAAUUUACAUGUGCAUCAGAAUUAUCUCAAGAUUUUCUGAUUCUGUGGGUCUGGAGUGCGGCCUGAGAACUUGACAUUUCUGAUAAGUUCUCAGGACCUUGAUGCUGCUGGUCUGGGGAUGUACUUGGGGAACUACUGAUCUAGGACACCAUAGCCUUUGUUUUUUAUCAGCAGUGCUGAACGUUAAUAGGAAGCAAUUGUAUUUGUUCUUACACUGAUUAUGUGUAUUAUAUUUCUGAUUGUCAUUGUGUAAUUUAAAUACUACCUUCAUCUAUGAGAAUUUAGUUGAAAAAUAGUUGUUUAUAUGAAAACUAAAUCAAAUACUUCGUAACAACUUAAUGUAGCUAUUCAUUAAAAUAAAGCUACCAAGUGAGAUUGGUGGGGCCGCUGUUAAAUAUCAGAAUAGCUAUCUAUCUAUCUAUCUGUCUGUCUGUCUGUCUGUCUAGAUAUAUGUAUAUAUCUGUAUCUAAAACAAUUAUAUAUUCAAGUUGCUUUAAAAAGAGUCUUUAAUUUAUUGUUUUACUUUAAAUAAAUUAAGUCUAUAAAUUGUAAAUGAUGUGUUAAUGCUGGAAUGAGUUAAAACUUUGGUGAACUGUUAGGAAGGCAUGAUUGAUUUUUGAAAUGUGAAAUGGAGAUGAGAUUUGGGAGAGGCCGGGGCAGAAUGAUAUGAUUUAGUCAAUAAAGACAGUAUGGAACUUUAAUCAGUGGAUCCAAUCUUUAAAAAAAACCCUUUGGAAAGUUGGCAAAUGAGUGCAUACUUAAACAUUUUAAAUUAACAUUCUAAAUUAAAAUAAAAUGUUAAAA
rnacentral:lncRNA from 1 species